rnacentral:rRNA from 1 species
AGACGACGCUGGCGCGUGCUUAAUACAUGCAAGUCAACUUGACUUUAGAUAGCUAUAUCGAAAAGUAGGGUGGCGCACGGGUGCGUAACGCGUAGGUAAUCUGCCCUGAGGUCUGACAUAACCCGUCGAAAGGCGGGCUAACAUCAGAUGAUAUAUAAUCACGACAUCGUGGAAAUAUCAAAUCUUCGGAGCCUUGGGAUGAGCCUGCGUCUGAUUAGGUAGUUGGCGGAGUAAUAGCCCACCAAGCCUACGAUCAGUAGCUGGUCUGAGAGGAUGAUCAGCCACACUGGAACUGAGACACGGUCCAGACUCCUACGGGAGGCAGCAGUAAGGAAUAUUGCUCAAUGGGGGAAACCCUGAAGCAGCAACGCCGCGUGAAGGAUGAAAUACUUUUGUAUGUAAACUUCUGUAAGAUGGGAAAAAUAUUCUCCUCGGGAGAAUUGAUUGUACCAUCAGAGUAAGCCCCGGCUAACUACGUG